GUCCACUAUAUUUCCCUCAGGAAUUCCAAGUUUUGCACAAAAGUCCACAAACUUUUCCCUAAUUUCUGUCCUCACAUCCCGCUUUUUGCCAAGGAGAUGGA